rnacentral:rRNA from 1 species
AGCGCAGGUGGUUUAUUAAGUCUGGUGUAAAAGGCAGUGGCUCAACCAUUGUAUGCAUUGGAAACUGGUAGACUUGAGUGCAGGAGAGGAGAGUGGAAUUCCAUGUGUAGCGGUGAAAUGCGUAGAUAUAUGGAGGAACACCGGUGGCGAAAGCGGCUCUCUGGCCUGUAACUGACACUGAGACUCGAAAGCGUGGAAGCAAACA